ensembl:lncRNA
AUGCAUAAUUGCAAAAAUUGUGUUUACUGGUUUAUUGUGCUGAAUAGAUUUGAAGCCCCAAUGGUUGUUUUGUUGCCUCUGGAGCUAUUUCCCUUUGUAAGGCUGUGUGUUGUUAACACAACAUCAGAAACAGAGUCAGGCUCCACUGACACAGGUAUUUUCAAAGACAUCACUCCCUGUGUUACAUUAAACCUCAUUUCUCUGUGGAUCUGCCUUGUCCAUAUUUCAUUGAUCUUCUCAGUGUGUAACUUAGUGCCUGGACUAGCACCGAUGAGCCUUUUAAGCAGGACAAUCAUGCAGAAGCAAGUAAGGGAUGUUUGGGAGUUGUGUGUUUUGUUUGUCGGUUGGUUUGGUUUUGAUUGGGAGUUUUUGUUUGUUUUGUUUUUGUUCUGUAAAGAAAAGCGCUUAUGAGCUGGUGUCUAGGCACUGAGAUGGCCAUUCACAGUUUGACUCAGGUUUUCUAUGUUCCUUUGGGAAAACAACAGUCUCUAGAGGUGCAGCUAUGAAAUUUUAGCCAAAUUUUAGCCAAAGCCAACAGUUUGUGUGCUCCAUGUCAUGUGCAAGCUACCUCAGUUGUGUGGGUACAGCUAAGAUUACAAGUCCAGAGCAAUUUAAGCCUGUUGCUCAUCUGAAGUGUCACAAAUUUUACCUGCCCCUCUUUGUGCCUUCUUGUGCUCAUAACUGUUCCAUUGUGUUCCAUUGCACAAUGAACUAGGAGGUGACUAGGGUAAAGUAUUUUGCUAUUGCCACCACUGAAAUAUAUGUUUUUUACCUUAGAGUUUUUGUUUGUUUUGUUUUUGUUCUGUAAAGAAAAGCGCUUAUGAGCUGGUGUCUAGGCACUGAGAUGGCCAUUCACAGUUUGACUCAGGUUUUCUAUGUUCCUUUGGGAAAACAACAGUCUCUAGAGGUGCAGCUAUGAAAUUUUAGCCAAAUUUUAGCCAAAGCCAACAGUUUGUGUGCUCCAUGUCAUGUGCAAGCUACCUCAGUUGUGUGGGUACAGCUAAGAUUACAAGUCCAGAGCAAUUUAAGCCUGUUGCUCAUCUGAAGUGUCACAAAUUUUACCUGCCCCUCUUUGUGCCUUCUUGUGCUCAUAACUGUUCCAUUGUGUUCCAUUGCACAAUGAACUAGGAGGUGACUAGGGUGAAGUAUUUUGUUAUUGCCACCACUAAAAUAUAUGUUUUUUACCUUGCUUGCUUCCUGCAACAUCUUAACCACACAGAGCCAAUGCAGAAGAGAAGGUCAGAAGAUGGGCCAGGAGGGUAUCUUCUGGGAUUUAAAAUGCCUGAGAUUCUUGUGACUUUCUGGGGGGCUCCUUUGGAGGUCUUUCCCCAGAUUUGUCCUAAACUGGGACAGAGGUGUAGACAAUAAAUACUUGUUAUAUAAUACUUGUUAUAUAAGUAAUUUCCUAUUCCUGUGUAAUUUCCUAUUUCUGCAAAAACUGCAAAUACUGGAGUAAGAUAGGAGAAUUAAGACUCACUAGAUGGUAUGUUAUUGGUAAAGCAAUGUCAAGGUGACAAAUUAUAGCCCAUUUUUCAUCUGUUUUCUAGUUGUUUAUGGAAAGACUUCAUAGAAUCAUAAAAUGGAUUGGGUUGGAAGGGACAUUAAAGACCAUAUGGUUCCAGCCACCCAAUCAUGGACAAGAACAC